rnacentral:rRNA from 1 species
GACGAACGCUGGCGGCGUGCUUAACACAUGCAAGUCGAACGGAAAGGCCCUGCUUUUGUGGGGUGCUCGAGUGGCGAACGGGUGAGUAACACGUGAGUACCCGCCCCUUACUUUGGGGAAACCUCAAGAAAACGGGGCCAAUACCGGGUAGGAACCUCUUCCGCCUGGUGGGGGGUGGGAAGGUUUCGGCGGUUGGGGAUGGACUCGCGGCUUAUCAGCUUGUUGGUGGGGUAGUGGCUUACCAAGGCUUUGACGGGUAGCCGGCCUGAGAGGGUGACUGGCCACAUUGGGACUGAGAUACGGCCCAGACUCCUACGGGAGGCAGCAGUGGGGAAUAUUGCACAAUGGGCGGAAGCCUGAUGCAGCAACGCCGCGUGCGGGAUGACGGCCUUCGGGUUGUAAACCGCUUUCGCCUGUGACGAAGCGUGAGUGACGGUAAUGGGUAAAGAAGCACCGGCUAACUACGU